UUUAAAAUUAUUAUUUACUUCAGUAAAAGUGUGGAACUUGACAUUUGCUAGUACAGGUACAUAGUUAUUUAUUUUGUUACUUGUUGGCUAUCUGGAAUAUUAUGAUGAAAGGUGUUUAGAAAAAGAAAAUAUGAGCACUUGUUUAGGAUACAAAUUUUGAAUUUUGAAAAUUUAUUUAUAUUUUUUUCAUAGUUGUGAAAAUCCUGAUUUUAACUCUUGAAGCCUAGUCAUUCCUUAUAAAGUUGUCAAACAUUCUGUUUAAAAACAAAAUGGGGGGGGGGGGGAGG